UCCGGGGUCGUCUAAUGGUAGGACAGCGGCCUUUGAAGCCGUGAAUGUAGGUUCGAUUCCUACCCCCGGAG
rnacentral:tRNA from 1 species